GAUGACCACCCUCUGUCUGCGGCCUGCUUUGUCUGAGUUUAAACAUUGUAAGUUUAAGCAUUGCAGUUUAAACAUGAGUUUCUGUUUUGGCUGUAGAACAGUGUCUUUUGGUUUUUGGAGGGUGGACAUGGGCUAACAGGACAGUGCUGCUCCUGUAAAAUCAACUCUUGAUCUGUUGUUGCAGAGACGGAGCCUGGGUGUCCAUGGAAUGGUGGUGAGCAUGGAGGGAAAUGGAAAGAAGCUGAUGCCUGUGGCCUUCCUCUGAAGCACAGCCAUGUGGAAAGCCAGGGGAGGAGUAGCACAGCACAGGAGUGUAGCACAGCACCCAAGAGAGUGGUGACCAGCUCAGAUGUGCCGGAGGAUGUCACGGACAUCCAGGGUUUGCUCUCUUGGAUCAAUGGUGAGUUUGGGGGCUGCAGAGCUGCAGGUGAGUGUUUGCACAGAGUGGAUGUGGGAGGGCUAUCAUCGCCAUUUUGGGGGAUGUUUUUGCAUUGCCAGACGUGGCAAGAGCUGUUGAGGUCCCCCAUGAGAACCCCAGCAACCCUGCCCCAGGAUGCUUCAUCGCUGAGCUCCGUGACAACCCCAGGGACAGCAGAGAGCUCUGCAUGGAGGCACAGGCUGCCACCGGGAUGCCCACCAACCCCUUCUGGGGGCUUCCACCAUCCCCUGGGUUCCUGUCUGAACUGCAGAGUGGGUUGUCGCAGCUGCACCCUGUCGUGCCUUCAGCGAGUGCCUGGCUCAGUCCACUGCCAACCUCCCUGGCUGUCACCACACCUUCCUUAGUCCAAACAGCACAGCCCAUCGAGGAGGUGCAGCAAAGGGAGCCCCAAGUGGCUCAGGCUCACUCACCCCUGUCACCAGGCUCUGUCCCCAGCCGGAUGGCAGAAAAGAAGGGCAGCACCAAGUGGGCCAAGCGCCCUGAGCCUGCUGGCAACACCCAGAAAGGGGAGAGCUCCCAGCAGGAGUAGCCUACCAACAGCACUCCAGCCAAGAAAAGAAAGCUGCUGCCACAUAGGGAAAGAACAGAGAGAAAAGGCCGCAAACACCUGUGCCAAGUGAAGCUGUCUGGGCCCAGCGCAGGAGCAAGCAACAGUGGGCAAGUGGGGCCAGCAGCAGUGGGCCUUCUCAGCAGGAAGCCACAAACCCUGCAGAAAGCUGCAGGAGACUCAGAGCACGUGUGAUGCCCAGAUGGAAAUGCAGAUCCAGUGUUUGAGCAGCGCCUGGCCAUGGAGUGCUGUACAGUCCAGGUGCUUAAAGUCACAGCCCAGUUAGAGAGGCUGACAUAUGUCCUGGGGCCUAAAGAUACUGCCAGAGAAGACAGGACUGGCCCUAGGGCCUAAAAAUACAGCCAGAGAGACUGGCACUGGCCACAGGACCUGAAGCCACAGCCUGAGAGGCCAGCACCGACCAUGGGGAUUAAAGCCCCAGCCCCAGCCAGAGAGGUCUGCACUGGCCCUGGGCCUAAACCUGGAGCCACAACACAAGAAGCCAGCACGAGCUUUGGGCCUAAAGCCACAGCCUGAGAGGCUGGUGCCGGCUCUGAAGUCCGAAGCUCCAGCCAGAGAGCCCAGCACCAGCCCUGGGCCAUAAUGCCACAGUUAUAGCCACAGAGGCCAGCACCAGACCUGGGGCUUAAAGCCACAUCUACAGCCAGACAGGCUGGCACCAGCUGUGGAGCCUAAAGCCAAAUCCUGAAAGGUCGGCACCAGCCCCUAGGCCUAAAGCACAGCCAGAGAGGCCGGAACCAGGCCAAGGGCCUAAAGCCACAUCUGCAGCCUGAGAGGCCUGGGGCACACAGGUGUGCCUUCCUAUUGGCUUCUGCUGAUUCCUAUAGGACUCCAUUGACCACUCUGAGGUCAUAUUGGUCCUUACUGUUUUUUACUUAGCCAUACUGGACUUUUCUGGUCCAUACUGGUGUGCACUCCUCCCAGUUCCUACUAGUUCCUCUGGGACUCGGCUGACCACUGCGAGGCCAUAUUGCAUUUUUAUUGGGCUGCACAAGACUCAUCUUCAGUUCUCUGUUGCUUUACUUCAAUUAACCCCCAUUCAAUUAACCCCAUUCAUCCCACUGGGUGACGCUGGUGUUGGUUUCCUAAAAUUUGGAUCUAGGAGGUGACCACUCCCUUUGCUUAUGAUGAAAGCACAGAAGUGAUGCAGGCACUCGCUGAGGCCACAAUGGUUGCUGGGGUGGGAGCGUUUGUGCCACAGCUGGUGAGCAGAGCUGGUGCUCUGGUGAGCGUGCUGCACACGGAGACUGAGCUCUGUGUUUUUCUUGAGAGAGAUCACCCUGUGAGAGCCCAUUGGAAGCACCACUGCAGUGUGUGUGAGCUGGGCACAGCACAGACUGAGCAGGCUGACCAGGUGAGCUGGGUUUGGUGCUGGGUGGUUGCCAGGGGGUUUCUCAGCAGAAAAACUGGGCUGGGGAGGAGUUCCCAGCUCCAGCGGUGCCCUUCUGAAUGGCUGUUUCCAGAGGAAACAUGUUCUUCUUGAGAUUCCAUCCCACAUUUCAGUGAGGAUGAUGAAAUGUCAUUCCUCCCCUGGAAAAUUGCUGCCAGGCCCCCACCUUCAUGUCAGACCUAAAAAAGGAAGCAGAGCACAGACUUCAUAGAGUGCAACUUGUGUCUCACUGCUCCAUGGAUUGCUUGGUGUGCCAUACCCAGCAGGUGUUUCAGCAAACUGCGCUGAAGUCACGGCAGAGAGCCGGGUGCUCAGCUGGGCACAUGGACGGUCAGCACACCUGUGGGGGAAAAGGGGACCUGGGGGCACUUGCUGACAGAAGCCAUGGCAGUCAGACACAAGCUGCAGCUAGUGAUGGGCAAUUCUUGCAGACAGCUGAUGUCCAAGCAUUGCCCUCAAGAGACUACAUUGCAUGGCAGAAGA